rnacentral:tRNA from 1 species
UCCCUGGUGGUCCAGUGGCUGGGACUCUUCCCUCCAAAUUCAGGGGGCCCAGGUUUGAUCCCUGGCCAGGGAA